CACUCCUACGGGAGGCAGCAGUGGGGAAUUUUGGACAAUGGGCGCAAGCCUGAUCCAGCCAUGCCGCGUGCGGGAAGAAGGCCUUCGGGUUGUAAACCGCUUUUGUCAGGGAAGAAAAGGUUCUGGCUAAUACCUGGGACUCAUGACGGUACCUGAAGAAUAAGCACCGGCUAACUACGUGCCAGCAGCCGCGGUAAUACGUAGGGUGCAAGCGUUAAUCGGAAUUACUGGGCGUAAAGCGUGCGCAGGCGGUUAUGCAAGACAGAGGUGAAAUCCCCGGGCUCAACCUGGGAACUGCCUUUGUGACUGCAUGGCUAGAGUACGGUAGAGGGGGAUGGAAUUCCGCGUGUAGCAGUGAAAUGCGUAGAUAUGCGGAGGAACACCGAUGGCGAAGGCAAUCCCCUGGACCUGUACUGACGCUCAUGCACGAAAGCGUGGGGAGCAAACAGGAUUAGAAACCCCGGUAGUCCCAUGA
rnacentral:rRNA from 1 species